GAGUUUGAUCUUGGCUCAGAACGAACGUUAGCGGCGCGCCUAACACAUGCAAGUCGAGCGAGAAAGGGCUUCGGCCCCGGUACAGCGGCGCACGGGUGAGUAACACGUAGGUAAUCUACCCCUGAAUGGUGGAUAACCCUCCGAAAGGAGGGCUAAUACAGCAUAAGACCACGGCUUCUCCGGAAGCUGAGGCCAAAGCGGGCCUCUUCACGAAAGCUCGCGUUUGGGGAUGAGCCUGCGGCCCAUCAGCUAGUUGGCGGUGUAACGGACCACCAAGGCUAAGACGGGUAGCUGGUCUGAGAGGAUGAACAGCCACACUGGAACUGAGACACGGUCCAGACUCCUACGGGAGGCAGCAGUGGGGAAUCUUGCGCAAUGGGCGAAAGCCUGACGCAGCGACGCCGCGUGAGUGAUGAAGGCCUUCGGUU
rnacentral:rRNA from 1 species